rnacentral:lncRNA from 1 species
UUUAGAUGUUGUUAGAAGACAGAUGCAGGUUGAAAAUCUUCAAGCUGGUGGUGUGAGACAUGCGAGUACAUGGAAGGGGAUUACCACAAAUGUUUCUGAACAAGGUUGGAGGCAAUUGUUUGCUGGCCUCAGCAUUUAAUUACAUCAAGAUUGUUCCUUCUGUUGCGAUCGGUUUCACCGCAUAUGACAUGAUGAAAUCAUGGCUUCGCAUACCUCCUCGACAGAAAACACAAUCAGUCUCUGCCGCUUAAGUUCUCAACAAGGAAAAAUAAAAGCAAGUGGAAUAUUCAAAUCUUUCGGUUUCAGUUGUCAUUAGAAGAUUCCAUUUGUUGAAUGUAAAAUUGUCAUCGAGGCGUUAAGGUUGCAGAUAGUCCUUAGCAUAUCUGUUAGGUGGUCUUGUAUAACAAUAUAAGCAGUGUCUAAGGUUACACAUUAUAAUAUGCACCAUCAGUUUUGAUGGAGACGUCAUAAAAAUGUUAUGAAAUACCUGUCGAAUUUGG